ACUCAAAUGAAUAGACGGGGACCCGCACAAGCAGUGGAGCGCCUGGUUUAAUUCGAUGAUUAACGAAGAACCUCACCUAGGCUUGAACUGUAGCUGCAGAUCGAAUGAAAGUUUGAUCGCCUUCGAGGGUGCUAUAGAGGUGAUGCAUGGCUGUCGUCAGCUCGUGUCGUGAGAUGUAGGGUUAAGUCCCGCAACGAGCGCAACCCCUUUCCAGUGUUAUAAUUUCUCUGGAUACUGCCCUGCCAAAACGGGGAGGAAGGAGGGGAUGACGUCCAGUCAUCAUGUCCCUUAUGUCUAGGGCUACACAGACGCUACAAUGGCCAGUACAAUGGGUUGCCAAACCGCGAGGUGGAGCUAAUCCCAUCAAAACUGGUCUCAGUUCAGAUUGUAGGCUGCAAUUCGCCUACAUGAAGCUGGAAUUGCUAGUAAUCGCGCAUCAGCAUGGCGCGGUGAAUACGUUCUCGGGUCUUGUACACACCGCCCGU
rnacentral:rRNA from 1 species